UCGAGAAUCUUCCGCAAUGGACGAAAGUCUGACGGAGCGACAUUUCGUGAUGGAUGAAGCCCUUCGGGGUGUAAACAUCUUUUAUCUGGGAGCAAAUUAUUGAGAGUACCAGAUGAAUAAGGGGAUCCUAAUUCUGUGCCAGCAGGAGCGGUAAUACAGAAUCCCCGAGCGUUACCCGGAUUUAUUGGGCGUAAAGGGUUGGUAGGUGGUCUAGUAAGUUCAGGGUUAAACCUCAUCGGCUUAACCUUUGAGCUGCUCUGAAUACUGCUAGACUAAGAGGGCGUUAGAGGCAAACGGAACCGAUGGAGUAGGGGUGAAAUCCGUUGAUAUCAUCGGGAACACCAAAAGCGAAGGCAGUUUGCUGGGGCGGCCCUGACACUGAACAACGAAAGCGUGGGGAGCAAAAAGGAUUAGAUACCCGUGUAGUCC
rnacentral:rRNA from 1 species